AACGAACGCUGGCGGCAGGCCUAACACAUGCAAGUCGAACGCGUGUAGCAAUACACGAGUGGCGCACGGGUGAGUAACACGUGGGAAUCAACCCAGAGGUUCGGAAUAACCGCGGGAAACUGCGGCUAAUACCGGAUAUCCCCUACGGGGGAAAGAUUUAUCGCCUUUGGACGAGCCCGCGUCCGAUUAGCUAGUUGGUGAGGUAACGGCUCACCAAGGCUACGAUCGGUAGCUGGUCUGAGAGGAUGACCAGCCACACUGGAACUGAGAUACGGUCCAGACUCCUACGGGAGGCAGCAGUGGGGAAUAUUGGGCAAUGGAGGCAACUCUGACCCAGCCAUGCCGCGUGGGUGACGAAGGUCUUCGGAUUGUAAAGCCCUUUCGGCGGGGACGAUGAUGACGGUACCCGCAGAAGAAGCCCCGGCUAACUUCGUGCCAGCAGCCGCGAUAACAC
rnacentral:rRNA from 1 species